AUUGCCAACUGGGAUACCGAGAUAAUGCACUGGCUACGGCCGACGCUUUUGGAACAUAUGGAAUAUGUAUAGUGCUCGCCUUUCGGAACUCUCUCCUAAGUGUUGGUUCCGCUCUUCUGUGGGCGUCACCAUUCGUCAAAUGGCCAUAUCUCCGAAUAUGAACGUGGCCGAACUCACUUAUAAUGCCGAAUGGAUGAUGUAGCAUGUAAAGGGGUGAGAUAAAUAUACCUUGAUGGGCCCAAUUUUUCCUUUGUUCAAUAUUUCUUCCACUGAGAAAUGUUGCUUUUAUAUCCAAAUCCUUCUGAGCUCUCCGAGUACUACUAGUACAGUACUCCAACAGCUGUCAGAGCAUACGUGAUACAGUCAACGGAUCCAGAUACCCAUUCUCCCAAUGGCUCCAUCGAGCAGUGAUCCUGCAGACUAUCCACUUCCCCUUCCACCAACAAUGAAGGCAUGGACCUACUCGAAAGCCGGUUCUCCCUUGGAUACCCUCACAUUAUCCACAGACCACCCGGUCCCGUCUCCCUCAAAACUUGCCCCU
rnacentral:sRNA from 1 species